UCGUCUUAUACGCGAUCGGACGCACGUCAAUCAUUUUUCACGAAAAAAUAACAAAAACUAAUUUUUUCUGAAAUAUUUCUAAUCAAAAUCGUUGACAAAAAAUUACACGAACGUGAUUCAAGUAAUGCGUAAUAUACUUGUGGAACUAGAUUGAUGAAAUUUAGAAACUAUUGUUUUAUUGCAAUUUGUAGACACCAGCUGUCAAAAAUUUCCAGAAAUAUAAGAAUUCGAGAAAGUUAUAAUUCUAAAAAUUACUUUUGCUUUCAUUGAACAUUUUUAUUAUCAAUAUGACUGAUAGAACUAGAUUAGAAAUAAAUUUGAGAAGAUUGCUUGGACAGUGUGAAAUUCUUGCAAAAGAAAACUCAAAUCCAAAUUGGAAACUUGAAAAAUAUGUAGAAACGGUGCAAAGUAUGAUUGAGGAAUUACAACGUUCACCAGGCAAACCACCCAGAGAAGUGAUGAUUCAGUAUAUUAAAACAGCUGAAUUUUUGAAAUGUGUACUCAAUGCUACUAGUCUCUCAGAUCCACUUGAAAGAGUUAUGGCUGCACAAUUGAUUCCGCAUCCUACAAGUGAAUUGACAGAUGGUUUUAAUUUAAAAAGUCAAAUUCAUUAUAAAACCACAGCUAAGUACAGUCAAGAAGCUCGACAUGAACUAUUUCGAACCAGUUUAGAUGAAAAUGAUGCGAUGAGGCAUAAAAGUAAUAAUUCCAAUGAGCAAGAGCAAGAUUUUGAUAUUAUAAUGAAACAUAAUCAAGAAAAGCAAACUACGAUUGCAGAAGAUAUGAUUCAUUGGACUUCAUAUUUAAAAGGAAACGCUUUAAGAGCUAGAGAAGUAAUAAAAAAAGAUAUAAACCAUCUUGAAAUGUCUGACCAGAUAACUGAAAAAAAUGCAAUGAAAUUGAAAGCAGAAUCAACAAAACUAGAAGAGCAUACAAAAAGUUCAACUUGGAAUUAUUGUUUAUGGUUAAUGAUGGCAUUUGUCAUAGUUAUAUUUUUUUAUAUGGUAAUGUUUAUAAAAAUAACAAGGAAAAGCACCUAACUAAGAUGUUUUUGAUAAAAAUUGCUCAAAAAGUAUAAGAUCUUGUAUAAAAUUAUUGUUAAGAAAUUUGUAUAAUAUUGUUGAUAAGUAGCUUAAUGAGCUAAAAUACAUUUUUGAACGUAGUACACUCGACGUGUUGAUGAGACAUUGUAUAGUAUGAUGCAUGACAGGCUGCGAUGUAUAUAUGUGAAAUACACACUCAAGUUCCAUCUGUUAUCAAGUGUAGAUAAUACGAUGGCCGCCACGGUAAACACUCCUGGGCGUCCAGCACCUCCAAAACCGAUAACAAAACCUGGUAAAGUUAAAGUAGUGAGGGCCCUUUUUAAAUACACUGCUCAACAU